rnacentral:lncRNA from 1 species
GCAUGGUUAUCUCCUGCCUGACGCUCGCCACUUGGUGCAUGAUGAGUAAAUGUUCAUUUGAUAUGAAUUCUCCCCUCACUGGCAUGGCUUAGUGAAAGCUAAAGAAACAGAGUAAAGUUAGUCCCUCUAAACAUUUACCCAACUUUUGGUCUUUAUGAUAAUGAAGACAUCUGACCUCUGGUUGGCCAUUGGAUUGUUGAAGAGGACUUCGGGAGACCAGGUGGUUCACUGGGUCAGUUGGCUCAAUUCAGAGGCAUUCACUCAUUCUUGCUCUUCGUCCCACCCCAGAGUGUCCUGUAAUCUGAAUGAACUCUCCCUCUCUGAUCUAAGCAUUUUUCGAUUUGCAAUUUUCAUGGAGAUAAUUCUAGGUUUAUAUGCAAUUUUAAGAAAUCAGACGGCUAGAUCUCGUGUAUUCUUCACCCAGUUUCUCCCAAUGUAACAUUUUACAAAACAUUAGUAUAAUAUCACAACCAGGAGAUUGACAUUACUACAAUCCAUCCAUCUUUUUCAGAUUUUCCCAGCUUUAUUUGUACUCACGUGUGUGUAUGUGUGAAAAUUGCACAGUUCCAUAAAAUGUUAUCACCUGUAUAGGUUUGUGUAUCCACCACCACAGUCAAGAUACUGACAGUUCCAACAUCACAAGGAUCCCUUAUUUUGCCCAUUUACAACCACUCCUACCUUCCUCACCCACCCCAUCCCUAUACCCUGGCAACCAUUAACAAAUAUGUCCUCCAGUUUUGAAAUGUCAUUUCAAAAAUGUUAUAUAAAUGGAUGCAUACAGUAUGCAUUCUUUUGAGAAAGGCCUUUGUGUGGUUCCUGGGUAAUAAUAAUGAGUCUGACUCCAUUUUCUGAUGUUUGCUAGUAGCUUUUAUACCCCACUCUUCUCAUUUCCCAUUUUGCCCCACAUCUGGGCAAGCUGAUAAGAAAGCCUGGGUUCUUCUGUUGGCACUGAGAUUCCAACCAUGUGGGCCCCCGCCUGUGUGCAGGAACCCUCACCCCAGCCCCACUCCCCAACGCCUAAGAAAACUUCAAGUCAGUUUUCUUUCCCUGCUCUCUUACGCUGUUUUUGGACCUGUUUGGGAAGCUUUCCCAGCUGUCUCCAGAAAACCUCAUUAUGUGCGUAAUAAAC